rnacentral:lncRNA from 1 species
GGCGGACCUGCGGCUCCGGGCGGUUCGGCAGCGCAGCGCGGCGCGGCCGCCUGCAGGCUCCCAGGCUCGGGUCCAGCCGCCACGACCGGCUCGCGUGGCUCCGGGGGAGCGGCCGAGAGUGAAGCGCGGAGAGGGCGCCUCGGAGGCUGCCGGGGCGGCGGGGCGGUUGUCCUCUGUAGAGGGAGCGGAGCUUCCCCCUGCCCCCAAGAGCACCGGCAGCCCCGGCCCCCCGCAUCCUGGCAUCCCGGGCCCGGCGGCCAGAGCAGGCCCUGCGCCCCCUCGGCUUUCUGGUCCUCGUGCGUCCCCCGGGGCAGAGGCGCGAGGAGGGACGGCCGGCUGAGGCCUGUCACGCCUUCACUCCCGAGUGUCCAGGCGGACGGGGUCCCUGCCUCUCCAACCCCUCCUCUCCCUUGGCUUCCCCCAGGGCACAGAGCGCUCCUCCUUGUCCACAGGAGACACAAGGCUUCAAACGCACACCCCCACACCCCAAUCCUCUCCAAACACACUCAGGGCGCUGGCCACUGGUUCUCCUUCCUCCUUCCUUCCUUCCUUCUUCUGUCUUUUUUUUUUUUUUUUUUUUUUUUUGACAGAGUCUUGCUCUGUCGCCCAGGCUGGAGUGCAGUGGCACGAUCUCGGCUCACUGCAACCUCCGCCUCCUGGGUUCAAGCGAUUCUCUUGCCUCAGUCUCCCGAGUAGCUGGGAUUACAGGCAUGCGCCACCACGCCCGGCUAAUAUUUUUGUAUUUUUAGUAGAGACGGAGUUUCACCAUGUUGGCCAGGCUGCUCUCAAACUCCUGACCUCAAGUGAUCCGCCCGCCUUGGCCUCCCAAAGUGCUGAGAUUACAGGCGUGAGCCACCUCGCCUGGCCCUUUUUUUCCUUUUUUUUAAGAAAGGAAGAUCUCGCCCCUUGCCCAGGCUGGAUUCGAACUCCGGGGCUUAAGCGAUCCUUCCGCCUCAGCUUCUCCAGCAGCCAGGACUGCAGGUGCGCACCACCAUGCCCGGCGUAGCCACCCGUGUUCUAUCCCCAGCACAGCUCCUUAGAUGGUGACUUUUAACAGCUCACUUCGCCUCCCUGUCCUCAGUUUCUCCUUCUGGAAAGGAACUGGAUUGGAUGGGGAUGGUUUCUGAGGCUCCUUCCAGCUCAGUUGUCCACCUUAAAGGUGUAAGUGGCAGAGGGUGGAGCGGGUCUGGUUCAGGGAGGAGAGCUGGGAGUAAAGGCAGGCCAGGGGCUGCGAGGUGGGUGGAGGAAAGGAAGACAGGAGGGAGGAGAGCGGGGCAUGGAGGAUAGCUUUGCCAGCCUAGCCCACCAGUCCCGGCCUCUAAGAGCAGGCUGGCAGAGCCCCAAGAGCCUAUACCACGGAAGGGCCCCAUGGGAAUCCCCUCACUCUCUGGGUGCCUGAGUUUGCAGAUAUCUGUUUGCCAAAGGAUGAGGGAAGGAACAGGAAGGAACGUGCCGGCAGGACUGGAAAAUCCAGCUGGGCAGGAGAUAGCUGUGGCUGCACCUCGCACUGGAGGCUGAAGCUUUGCUUGGCUCUGCCCCUGUGUCACGUGUCAGGUGAGGCUGCUGGACCCCUGGAAGCCCCGCCAAGGGAAGUGACUACCACCAGGCCGCAAGCUCCUGUGCAGAAGUCUAGCAGCCUUUAGCUUUGGGGCCAUACACAUGUGCUUCCAAGACGGUAGGCAGAUGACGUUCAAUUUAAAUCCACUUUCCUAUACGUUUACUCAAUGAGUUCAAAGAUGCUUUUCAUUUACAAGCUUGGCGGCAGCUUCCAACACAUUAACCCAAAGGCCUUCAUGUUCUCCCCAGCCAACCCCUUUGUCCCUCUGCAGAAAGGGAACCUCCUGCAAAAUGUCCAGAUGGUUCAGAGAAGUAUAUAUGACAGGCUGGUUGCAAGUGGCAGGAACGCCCCUCUAAGUAGUUUAAAGACAUAUGUAUGGGUGUGUGUGUGUGUGCACGCGUGUGCAUGUAUAUAAUUUAUUUUUUGCUCAAAUAAUUUUGGUAAAGGUAAUUAACUAAAGGUAAAUAACUAACCUUUACCAAGAGCAGGGAUGUGGCUGGGCCCAGAAUGCAAGACUCUCCGAUAGCAGCUCCCAAGCUUAACAAGUUAAAGACACACUGCAGCUUUUCUCCAAAAUUCUAGUUAAAAGCUGAGGCCGUCACCAAACAAUUGUUGCCAAGAGCUCAGGAUGUUGUGGUUGGAGGGGCCUGCGCCAGAGGUCCACUUCUGAACCAAUCAGCAGGGCCCGGGGGCUGGGCCAUGUUCUGCUUACCUCACAGCUUCCACACCCACAGGGUUUUGGGAACCGGAGGCAGGCGGACAGCCCCAGGAGUCAUAAUGAGAAGAAAUGCUACCUCGGUACAGUGGACGAACGUGCAAACCACACAGAAAGUUUGAAAAAGGUCUACUGGAGGCUCUGCUUUCUGGUAAUGGCUCCAAAAUACAAAGGGCCUCACACUCCGGCACUGACGAAGUCCAUACGGCUCUUAGGCUGACACCCACCAGCCAGUCAAUGGGAGAGCUGGGACCAGAGGGCUGACUUGACCUCUUCAGCAGGAGUGUCCAAGGCCUUUGUGGGCGGUGGUGCAGGUUGUGCGUGUGAAUAAUGAAGGCAAUUCAUUAUUACUCAGAACACAACACCUUGGCGAUCUUUAGAAACAUGAGAAACAGAGCUUCCAAGGUACCUGCUCACACGCCUCUCUGGAGGUAAUCGCUGUGCCGUGGCUCUUAAUGAGCCACUCUCCACAUGGCCUGAGGCCUGGCACCGUGGGAAUUCCCUCUGUCCCUGAGUCAUAGGCCUCUGCUACUGAACUGUAAAUAGGGACCGGGUCAAUGACAGCGGGACAGCUGGCCCAGGGAGCAGGGUUGGGGUGGGGACUGCUGGGAGGCUGCCCUGUUAAUCUCUCUCUACCAUACAAGGCACUCCUUGGGUGACCCCCGUGACUGUGAUGCAGAACAGGGAAGGAGAGUGGGUGUUAACCUUGAGCCUAAGGCUCCUCCUCCACCUGUGGGACUGUAAGCCACCUCUCCUGGGCUGAGGGCUCUGGAAGGAGGCUUGGCUGCUCCUCAGCACUCGGGGAGCGGUUUUUCAGGCACACACACUUGAGCUCCAUGACCUCCCAGAUUCCCACCGCCCCUGCUUGACUCUUCCCCUGUCUCCCCUUCCUGAAAUGACCCCCUCUGAAUUCCUUUGACUGUUCUCUGGUUGUCAGUCUCACAGUGACAGGUGUGUAAAGCAUGAGGUGACCUUGGGCAAGUUGUUCAACCUCAGUGUUAUCACCUGUAGAACGGAGAAAACAAGACUACAUACUUUGGAGGUGAGGACGCUGUAGGAAGUCAUCUGCGAAG